rnacentral:rRNA from 1 species
GACGAACGCUGGCGGCGUGCUUAACACAUGCAAGUCGAACGGAAAGGCCCUGCUUGUAGGGUACUCGCGAGGGGAACGCGUGUGUGUCACGCGGGUGUUAUGCGCCCCUCAUCUUGGUAUAACUUGGGGAAACGGUGUAAUAUAGCGGAUGAGACCUCCUUCUUCAUGGGGGGGGAUAGAUUUUUCGGUGGGGGAUGAGCUCGCGGCCUAUCAGCUUGUUGGUGGGGUAGUGGCUUACCAAGGCUGCGACGGGUAGCCGGCCUGAGAGGGUGGGCGGCCACAUUGGGACUGAGAUACGGCCCAGACUCCUACGGGAGGCAGCAGUGGGGAAUAUUGCACAAUGGGCGGAAGCCUGAUGCAGCGACGCCGCGUGGGGGAUGACGGCCUUCGGGUUGUAAACUCCUUUCGCUAGGGACGAAGCGUGUGUGACGGUACCUAGAUAAGAAGCACCGGCUAACUACGUG